rnacentral:lncRNA from 1 species
AGUAUUUCCGGCAAAUCUUGGGAAGAAAGCAGCAGCAGAGGAGAUGGUACUGUACCGGAACAGAAGAGAUCAGAUUCACAUUCACGCCACAACCUCAACCUCCUCUCCGACUCCGAGUUUGGGAAACCUGGUUUCUAUUACAAUUCGGGGAUGUGGGCAACUACGACAACUCUUCACAACCUCCAUGGUCAAAAGCCUGGUGCGACUUGAAAGCCUAGAAGUAAGCAGCUGCCCAACACUGCAAGAAAUAAUCAUGGAUGAUGAUGGAGAAGUGGGACUGCAGGGAGCAUCAACAGAGAAGAUCACGUUUCCAAGUUUGUUCAUCAUACAACUCUGUCACUUAGACAGCCUCGCUUGUUUCUUUUCAGCAGGUUCACAUGCUACUAUUGAAUUCCUAACUUUGGCGGCUUUGCUAAUAAUUGAUUGUCCAAGCAUGAAGACCUUUGGUUAUGGAGACCAACUGACACCCAAGCUGCUGAAAGGUGUGUUAGUAAAUGGUGAAUAUCGCUGGACGGGUAACCUUAACCACACCAUUCAACAAUACGUGUACAACGAGAAGGUACGUCAAGUUAGCAAUUGCUUGCCCAUUAAAUUCCUUGUUUUUUUUUUCUUAAUUGUAUUUGUAUGUGGUGGUAAAAUAAUUUUCUACAUCUACUUAUACUAGCACACCAUUUUAAUUUUAUUUUUCAUUUGGGGCAGAAAAUUCGGGAGAAAGAACCAAUGAAGUCAGGAAUUUCAUCUGAGACUACUUCCUCUGACACUGAGAAUUGAUUGUGUAAAACAAACGGUAUGCAUGCGUAAAAUUUUACUAAAUUCCCUAGAUUUUGUCACAUAUUUAUCCUUUGACAUUGCUCUAACUAAUCCAAAUACUUGAUUUGUUUUCAGAACCAUCAUAUAAGGAGCGUUGACAGGUUCGCAUACAUCACCAGUUUAUUGAAUUUCAUUCUCCUUUUUCAUGUCUUAUAUAUUAAAUGCACAAAAGAAUUUCAUGUAUUUUCUUCGUUCGGGAUUGUGCAUGAUGUUAUUUAUUCUGGUUUCAAUCUCUCAGGUAUGCCAAGCCCAGAUGCCAGAUUGCUUGGGAUGUUAAAAUAAUAAUUACUUUAGUUCGUGGAGCUGCCUGUAAAAAUUUGGUAUCCAUAAUGUAUGUUGUUUGUUUAGAUAUUAAACAAUUAGAGUUUGUUAACCAUAGACGUAUUCUCAAUGUAAUAAGUGUCGGCAGGAAAGUGCUGAUGUCAAUUCUGAAAAAUAAAUGUAAUUUGGUAUUACAAGUGAGAAAAAUAAUUGUGAAUCCUUAUUUCUUUUGUUUGCACUUUGUUAAUAGUCAAUUUAAGAGAUACCUUAAUGAUAUUCUCUUCUUCUAUUUCUUCUAUUCUUUAAUUGUUUUUCAUAGUAAAAAAAAAAUUAAAAUUAUUUGAUAUCCUAGUAACCUACUUUUAGAGCCUGCUAAUUUAGUUGCAGUUUUGCAGUAUUGAGUUACUGAAUUAAAAAAAUUAGAUUUUUCCUCUUUCCAGAUCAACGCAUGCUAAUGCAACAUUGCUUUCUGGCAAUAGAACAGGCUGCCAAUGGAACACAAAUUUAUAAGUUUCGGGAUAAAAUUUUCAUUAACUAAUAAAAAGCGGAAUGACAAUUUCCUAGUAACAGAUGCUGAAUCUGUAGCCACAUUUUCUUGGUAACCAUUUUUCCAAAGUUCAAAGCUUCUCUGCUACUUGUGCCCAAUCCUGUCUCAAGCCAAUCUCAGAAAUAACUCUGAGAAGAUGCCCUGCCAUCAGAGAUCAAUCAAAAGGCCUUCAGGAUUUGGCUGACAUAUAAAUGCUUGAAGCAAAAUUUUACCUUCAGCAGCAGCUGCACCAAGAAAAUGCACAACCAUUUGAUCAUUAUCAAAUGCAAAAUGAACAGGCACAAGCAGAGAAACAGGUUUCAGAAUUGGAGCAGCGGCUCCGUGGGGGCCGGUGGGAGCUUCACUAUUGGAGGGUGAGAACAGAAAUCGGGCCAUCAUCAUUCUGAUUUCUGAAGAGUUUAUUGUGUUUCUAUCAUGAGAUGAUUAAGUGCGUUGACUAUGUUCUGGUGUUGUGCUGAAUGUUUAUUUCAACAUAACUUUGUCUGGAACAACUUGUGUUUGGAGUUUUUAGUUUCACAAAGAUAUUAUUUGCGUACUUUAUUUCAGUUUAAUUUCCAUAGAUGACUUUUAUACGGCUUAUAUAAAUCUUGAUUUCUGCGGGGGUUAAGUUUGUGUUUAUUACAUACGCAUACAUACAUAUGAAAAGACCAAUAUGCUCAGGCUUUGCAACAUAAACUCGGGUGAGUCCUCUAACAGUCGUUUUGCCUCUUAUUUUUUCGAUAAAUCUUAACAUUUGACUCCAAAGUGUCACGUGGAACUCAUAUAUCGGAUUAUGAAUUUCUUAAUUUCUGAAUUAAUUAUUACUUUAUUGUAUCAACACUUGGGGAAAUUCCACACAGCAACACAAGAAGUCAUUAAAAAAUUCAACAGGUUGCCAAUGGGAGUAGAAAUUUACAGGUUUCAGAAUAAAAUAUUUUCAUUAAUUGAUAAAAUAUUUGAAUGGAAAUACUAGAAUUAUUAUUCUAAAUGAAUGGGUAAGAAACAAAAAACUAAAUCUGAAUUUCGUAGCUCGUACUGUUUGUGGUGAAAAAUAUGACGACGAGGAAUUCAUGAGUAGAAAGGUGCUCCCCUCAUCAAAAACUAGCUCAUCAUGGGUUUUCAUCCGCAAGGAGCCAUGUUCUGGUCGCUCGAGUGCUUCGCUUGGUUGGGGAUAGGCGACGAGAGGCCCUGUUCGAAUAUGAUCGGUCUUGACUGGUCAAAGAAUCGGGCCUAGGUCAUGGGUAUCUAGGAUGUUGGUUUUUCCCUAAGAAUUCGGGGCAUGAGAUCCACUCAAGGGCACUCACCCACGAUGGUGCAACCGACCCAGAAAUGAUUGUGGAGAUAGGGCCGCAAAUUUCGGAUGGGUAUAAACGACACAGGGUACAAGUUUUUCCAAGAAAAAAGACUCAAUUAGUGACUUGAACGUUAGGGGGUUAUCGCCAGAAAAACAUCUAGCAUUACUAAUAUGACCAAUAAUAUAUUACGUGAGUUAUACUCUAAUCUGGUAAUAUAAUAACAAUUCUUACCAAAAAUUUAUCAACUUAAAAACAAUGUUGGGUACAUUUUCUUUUAUGUUAUGAUUACAUACCCACACCCAACUCCAAGGGCGUAGUCGGGUUGGUAACAACAUGAAGCUUGUAGCAGCUAACCACUCGGGUUCGAGUCUUGGGGGAGAUAAGGAGAACAUAAAAUUGUUUGGGUUUGGCCCACCCCCUUACUUUUAAAAAAAAAAAAAGAUACCCACACCUUCAAUGAUGACUAUAAUGCACAAAUAUACAUUUAGCUUCACAAAAAUUGACACACAAACCCUCGAUUAUUUGAAAUGAUUUAAAUUUAUUGGAAAUUGUUUAUUUUGUGUGGGAAUAAUUACACAGGUCAAGCGUCAUCAAGAACUCCUUAUAAAAAAUUGAGGAGCCAUGGAAUAACGAACAUGCUAGGUUGGGGAAUUUUGAUGAUAAUUGGAGCUAUAUUAGCUCGAUACUUCAAGCAAUGGGAUCCAAUUUGGUUUUAUUCACAUACUUUGGUUCAGUCACUGGGAUUUGUACUUGGCGUGGCUGGUGUAAUUUGUGGACUUGUGCUGGAAAAUAAAUUCGAUGCCGAUGUUUCAACCCACAAAGGUCUUGGAAUCUUCAUACUUGUUCUUGGUUGCCUCCAGGUUUUUUUAUGGUCACACUAUUUAGCAAUUUUUGGACUUUCUCUCUCUCUCUCUCUCUUUUUCUGUUUGAUGCUCACACUUCAUAAAUUUCUAUUUAUUUAUUUAUGUUGAGUGAUUUUCAAGUAAUUUUAUAUAAUUCCUCACUUGAAUUUAAGUCUUAAAGAAGAUUUAAGCUUUGUUAAAAUUUAAUAUAUCUUACUAAUUGUGAUGAAAUAUAUUAAACAGUGACAGAUUACAUCUACAUUUUUUAAAAUAAAUGUGAGAAAAUAUUAAAGAGUGACGACAUAUAACUAGGGAUGGCAAUGGGGAGGGGAGGGGAGGGGACCAAUCUCCCCGUACUCAUCCCCGAUAUUUUGCGUAUGUCCCCGUCCCAUCCCCGUCCCCAUCAGAAUUACUUGAGAGAAUCCACAUCCCCUCCCCGAAUAAUAACAGGGGAUUCCCAAGGGUCCCCGAUCCCCGAAUAACUAAUACAUUUUUUGUUUUCAAUUUUGAGUUAAUCAUAUUAAAAUAAAAAAUUCAAAUAAAAGUAAAGUUUGAAAUAUAUCUUACAUUAAUAUCCAUUACAAAAGUCACAUACAUUAAAUUAGUAAGUAACGCAACAUGUAAGGGAUACAAACUUCUUUUACAAAUUAUCGUGAAUAAAUUAAUAGUCUAAUGUAAAAUUAUUAGAAAUAAAAUCAAAUUUAGAUUCAAAAUUAACUUUUUCAAUGGUGGCGUGGCACUUUAUAAAUGUGGACUAUUCCUUUUACAGCACAAUAGUUAAGUCGGAGCAAAUCAAGAGCAAAUAUUAUAUUAGAUUAAAUUAGAUAUUAAAAUUGUGAUUCGCUGUGGGCAAUUAUAACAUCUAAAAAUAAAUAUAAAAAAUAGAUUUAAGUUUAAAACAUUUAAUGAAUAUUAAAAUUAAAACAAAAUUUUUGGGCUAAUAAAAUUUACCAGGUUUUUUUAAUAUCCUAAAUAAAAAUUUAGGACUUUAAUUAGUUAAUUAGGUCUAAAAGUUUAAUAAUAUAAAUAUAUUGAUAUUUGUUAUUUUUACCAAUAUUUAUAAUUUUAUAAUUCAAAUUUUAUUAUUUAUUUACUAGUAAUUUUAAAAAAUAAAAAUAAAAUUAAAAAUUAAAAUGGGGAAAUGGGUAGGGGAUGGGGAUUCCACCUCAUCCCCGUCCCCUCCCUGAAUAAGAAAUUGGGUAAAAAAAUGUUCCCGUCCUCUCCCCGAAUAAGAAAUUGGGUAUGAAAUUAUCCUCAUACCCUCCCCGAAUGGGGAAAAUCUCCGAGGGUACCCGUCCCCGUGGGGAUUUUUACCAUCCCUACAUAUAACUCGCCCCUCCAACCCAAGGCCUUAUUUUAACUUUCGUUUCAUAUAAAGCACACAAUUUUACACUUUGGACCCCAUUACUUUGGACGAUUUAUGUUUUACCCCUCAUCUCUCUAAAUAUCUUUUUAUAGAGAUUGACCUUUCUAAAUUUAUUACUUUUAUGAUGCUUUUUGGCCACUUCGAAUUUUCAAUUUUAGCUCUGCCUUGUUUCUAGCCAUAAUGUGCAGGAGGGAACUAAAUAAAUUUGUAGGGUGGCCGAGUCCAAGGAAAAAAAAAUCGGGGGAAAAUUAAAUAUUAAAUGAAAAUUUCCCCAUCUCAUAUUAAUUUUACUUUUGACCCCAAAUUUUAUACAUAAUAUUUUCACAGCCUAGUAUAUUGUAUGAUUUAUCAAUUAUAGCCCCACUAUUGGCCUCUGAAAUUUUACCGUUUUGAUGUUAUAGCCUAGUCAAGUAUAUAAUUUCUCCAUUAUGCUGCCGUCAAAGCAAAAUUCUUAGAAAAUUUACAAUACUUUAUUUGAUGAACCAUUAACAAGUUUUUGUCCUUUUUUUUUUUCUAAUUAUGUGUUACUAGAUUAUUUAAUUUAAAUUUAUAUAAAAUGUAAAAUGUUAAUGAUUUGUGUUAUGUAGGUAAUGGCAUUUUUGGCCCGACCCAACAAGGAAUCAAAAGUGAGAAAAUAUUGGAAUUGGUACCAUCACAACAUGGGGAGGAUUCUGAUCAUAUUUGCAAUAGCAAAUAUUUUCUACGGAAUUCAUUUGGGUGAAAAAGGAAAGGGAUGGAAUGCUGGUUAUGGGAUCACUAUUGCCAUCUUGUUUUUGAUCGCUAUUGUUCUAGAAAUAAGGAUGUGGAUGAGGAAAUAAAAGUUCUUUACUUCAUCAAAAAUGCUAUUUGGACCAUUAAAAAAAAUAUUACAAUUUUUUUUUGUCAAAGUAGUAUUGAUGUACCUUUUAAUUAUUUUAUAUAUAUUGAUUAAUGACUGAUUUAUGUUUGUUUUUUGUUUCACUCAUAAAUUCUACUGAUUUUUCUAAAGACAAUGAAAACAUAUGAUUAUAAUUAUUGGAAUAUUUCAUUUUUAGUUUGUUAUAUCAAAUUUUACUUUCAAAUAUUCUCAGAAUCAACACAAAUAGAUAAAUGGGAAAAUGAGUAAAACUACUCCUCUUGUUUAAUAAAAUCAAGCACGAGGGGGUAUCGCUUAUUUUCCCUAGAUAAACCAAUGCCCUAUCUAAGUUUUGAAAAUUAUGUGAUGCAUGUAUAACAUCAUAACAACCCUUGUGCCUUAGAAAAAUUUUAAAAACGUCUUUGCUGAUUUUUAAACUUUUGGGUUUUUACCUCUUGUGAAACUAUUGCAAACUUGCCCCACCUACACUCGGUAUAUUGAUUUGUACUAGUCAUGCUCUCAAUUAGGACUAAUUUCUCGAUUGGCAAUAUUUUCAUCGUGCAAAUGAUGUUGCCUUAUGCCAAAACUUUUCAAUAUGAAAUGAGAAAGAAAGCAACACUCCACCUCAAUUGUCCCACUUGAGGUCCUCUUGUUGUAAUAAAGCUCAAAAAGUUUCAACUACUUAUCUAAGAUUGGUACCUUUUGUUUUGUUUGCAUCCCCACUACACUUUAUUCGUCCAUUCAAUAAUUUUCCUAAUGUCAGACAACCAAAUAAUGUUGAAAUUGAAUAAACAAUCAAAUUGAUGAUGGGGUUGAAACUCUAACUAAUUAAAAAAAAACUACUAAAUUGAUUGUUCUUUUAAAUAAAUAUGAAAUUAAUGAACACAAUUGGUUAUUUAUGAAAUUUUUUUUUUCUGAUGGGGACAUUCUUAUUUUAUAAAGCCCGAACUCGAACGAAAACAAUAAAUGUAUAUCAUUGUAUGGUUAGAUUUUAAAUCCGCAUUUUCACUAAGAGUUGACGUCUACACCGAAAACUAACUAAUAGAUAAUUAUAAUAAUUAAAGUGUAAAUCUCAUUAAAGUAAACUCCAUUUUUGGACUCAAAUUUACUCAGACUCCACAUUUGGAGAGCUGAUACUCAUCCAGAUGGGUUGCCAUAAAUAAAAUGAACCUUGUAAUUAUCUGUUAAGUGACCUGCAAGCGCCUAAUUAUCUGCUGACCAGUCAAACGUUGACCAAAAUUCUCUUGUUACUGUAGAAACGAAGCAGAGUCCUAGCCCAGGUGGGCCCCACAAGGCUGCGUUGGAUUUCGGAUAAAGACAACAAUUUCAUAAAUUAAGUACUAAAUUUAAAAAUUCCCCAAUAAAUUCAUCCCGUCACUGGCAUUCUGUCAAUUCUUUGUCCAUUUGCUUCUCAAUUGAGUCUCACACCAACCACCACGUCUCUGGUCUCCUAUAAAUAUGUUCUAGCAGUGACUAUUAUUGUAUCACUAUUCACUUACAAACUUGAAAAAAAUCACUAGGGUUUAAUCUUUCUCUAAAUGUGAAUUUCAUUUGUAAGCGUCAUCAUCAGAUAAUCACUCUGAUAACCUUUUUUUUGUGGGGUUUUUUCUUUUUUAUUUUCACAAUUGCAUCAUGUAUACGUAUCAUCUACACAUACAUAUAUAGCUAGAAGCUUGAUUAUAUAUAGUUAUUAGAUCGAUUCUGAUUAGUCAAGGGUUUGUUAGAUCACAACGUUUCCAAAAGUUUUUUUAUUAGGGUUUCUAACCAUGAUAUUUUUUUGCAAAAGUUAUUUAUCAGUUGAUCAUGAGAUAAAGAUCUUGAAAUUGCAUUUUGAUAUGAAAUUCUGAUACAUGAUGCGGAUGCAAUUUUGACCUAUUUAGUAGUUAUAUUAUGAUCUUAAUUCUGGUGGCUUUGUUUUUCAUUUUUUUUUUUUUUGCUUUUGAAUUUGAAGGUUUUGUAGGGAUUUGCAGUUAUGGAUAAGGGCAAGAGACCAAUCCAAGAAGAAGAAAAUUUGUCAUCUCCUCUUGAUGAUUAUCAUACAAAUAAUAUGAUCUUACCUCCAACGCCACUAGCUCCACCGGGUUUCAGUGUUUUGAAUUUUGAAGGAUCAGGUGAUAGAAAAAUAUGAAACCCUAGCCAAACAAGUUAUAAGUUAAUUUAGAGAUGAUUUUAUUUAGUUCUUUUCUUUUUUUUAAAAAAAUUAGUAAACAUUAACUUUUAAGUAGAGCUUGAAUAUAUGUGGUGCAGGCAAAGAAACAACAGCAGCUUCUGCUGUGGAUGACAUGGAUCAGGUGGCCAAGGAAGAUUUCUUUUCCAAAUUCUUGAGCGUGAGCGUUGCUGGAGUUCCUGUCCCCUCUAUGGAGCAAUAUUCUAUGUCGUCGGCAUCAAACACCGGAGUUUUGCCAAUGGCUCAAGCUGAUGAUUAUCACGAUGAAAUGGCCGAUCCGAUACUGCCAAUUUCACACAAACUUGCUGGCAAUAAGCCACCUCCGGCAACAGCUGAUGAUGACAAAGAUAAACCACUUGUGUUCAAAAAAACCAUGCCUCCUCAUGAGCUGGCUCAACUAGCCAUAUUUGAUCCUAAGCGAGCAAAGAGGUACAUAGAUUUCUUUCAAAAUUAAACUUACUAUCGUUGCUAUCCAUACACUCUUUUCUUGUGCUAUUAGUGACUUAUUUCUCUUCAUUUUAGUUUUACUUUAAUAUGCUGAUAAGUAAAUGUGUUAUUAUUAGCACCUCUAUGGUGUUCAUUUCUCAAUUCACAAGUGGUACCCAAAAUCUAUUUGAUACAUUUUUUAUAAAAAAUAUAGGUUCUAUAUAUGUUUUCUUAGUCGUAUAUACGCCAAUGAUCAUCAAAUCUAUGUCUAAAUGGAUCUGAAUUCAUUAAUUGAGAAAUAUAGUUGUAAGAAUACAUUUGUAUCAAUAUUUUAUAUAUCUAAUAAUAGUUGUUCAUGUUUUGGUAGUACUAAACUUCAAUCUGCAUUUUGGUUUAAAUAUAACACAUGAUGUUAUAUAAUGUUGUCAAACAUUGAAAUGGAACAUUAGACAUGAAUUAGAUAAGUAUUUCGCGAACUCCGUGAUCAUUAACGCUUGUUUUCCACGUAAAUAACGAUGUCUUUUGGAUGAAAAAGAUACUAAAAAUAGAAAUUUGGAUAAAGAUUUUAUGUAUAAAAUGUAAUUUUAAGUUAAACUUUCAAUUCAUAGAAUCUAUGUAAGAUUAUAUGUGAAAAUCAAAGAACUAAUUAGAAGAGUGUUUAUUGAACAUGUAUUUGGUAUUCAUCUAGAUUUUCAAAUUAAAGUCCAGAGACUAGCAGUCACAGAAUAAUGAUCUAUAGAAGUUUCCUCAAUUCGUCUGAUUUAUUCAAACUUUUUGUACUCUGUCCAUGGCUUGAUUUGUUUCAACUGUUAUCGUCUUUUGAUCUAUAUUUGUCAUGUAAUCAUGCAUUUUCAUACUUCCUGUAAAUGCAUAUGAUGAUUAUAUAAGCAGGUCUAUAUGCUUGCAAGCAAAAAUGAAUUUUAAUUAAUCCUAUUUGUAGGUUUUAUAACAAAGGUUAAAAGAUUGUUUCUAUAUCAUACUCUAUGUGCUCCUUUGAAUAUGUGUCAUAGGAUCGUGGCAAACCGGAUGUCAGCAAUUAGGGCAAAGGAACGGAAGAAGCUGUACAUAUACAUGCUUGAACAUAAGAUGCAUAAUUUGCGAUCUAAUUCAACUACAUUGACUGCUCAAUUGACCCUAUUGGAGGUAUUUAAUUGUCAUAUAAACCUGUAGUUUAUAGACUAUAUGUAGGGUAUAUGCAGCAAUGAUUUAUAUAUCUGUUCAUUCAAUGUUAUUUUUUAAGACAAGAAACCGCUUCAUAUGUGAUAUAUGUUGUAUCUCUAAAAACAUUUUUGUCUACUAAUUACAAGCAGACAGAAAGCAAUUCAUUGGAUGCUGAAAAGGCCGUGCUGAAACAUCGAUUGGAGAUCACGUUGCAAAAGAUUCACUUGCAAGACUGUAAGUAAUUCUUCUGUCUCCUUUGCUAUAUAUAUCCUUACACUUCUCUUUGUUUGAUUUAGUGUGUGUCUGUUGCUGUGUGUUAUUUGUGAAUCAGUUAUUGACUCCAUGCAUAUAAAUAGAGCAUAAUGAUGAGGAAAAUUAUGAUAUUAUUAAUUGUGUUUAUAUUCAUGCUGUAGCUUCAUUAUCAUUGUUGAACCACGCGAAGUCUUGCUUUCUAUAAUGUUAAUGAUAAUGGGAGAUUAAAUAUUAUAUAAUCGUUUUCAGUGCGUCGUGCUCCCUCAUUUUUAAAAUGUAGAUUCGGAUCUUAUAAUGUUGUAAAAUUUCAAUUCUGCACUUUAAAAAUAUGAACGUUUGCAUCAAAGAAGGAGAAGUACAUAUUUCUUCAAUUGAAUCUUUAUUGUAUUAUUUGAUACAUAUAUAGAACAUUAAUUAAUUUCUUCUGACCUUUCCUUUUGGCAGGGUUGAAUGAUCAAAUAAGAAGUGAAAUCCAGCAUAUGAAAACCGUGCUUGGACAAAACAUACCUAAUCUUGGAGCCCAUAUUGGAUUAUCCAGAAGCAAUAGCUAUCGGGACAUAAAUGCUUCCAUAGGCGCCGCCGCACAACUGCUUCCAGAGCUCCAGCUUCAGAACCCGUAUCUGGAGCAACAACCACAGUAUGUUUUUCAGCAGCAGCCAUAUCUCGGGCUAAACAAUUUUGGAUUUCAGAAUGAGCAAGGAGAAUGCAGCCAACUUCAGCAGCAGCUGCUAUACCAAGAGAAUCCACCGCCACUUGAUCAUUACCAAAUGCAAAAUGAACAGGCACAAGGCCACCAACUUCAACAACAACAACAGCUGCCGAAAUUUUGAGCAGCUCCAUGCUGGGAACUUCAACAUUGGAGAGUGAGAACAGAAAUGAGGCAUCGUCAUUCUAUGGAUUUUAUAGGAUUCCUAUUAUCGGAUGAUUAAGUAUCUGUGUUAAUUUAUUAUGUUGUGGUUUGCUUAUUUCAACAGAACUUUAGUUUGUUUGUGUUUGGAGUUAAUUUUAAUUUCAGAAGGAUAUAAUAUGAUAUGCUGUAUAUCAGUUAUUAUAAUUUCCAUAAUUGCUUUGAUCGAUGUUGCUUAAAUCUUGGUUUCUGAGGGUCUUAAGUUGGUCUUUGCUCUAUAUAUGUGUGUGUGUGUUCGAAUUUAGAAUUUUAAAGUAUGAAAAAGUCUAAGAAAAUUCAUAAACCGUGUGGUUUAUUCGCUUAAAGUUUUAAAUCUCUUAAUCCCCCGGUUUUCAAACUUUUUUAGACUUUUCUCGUCUUUAUAUAUAUAUAGUCAUUCUCUAGUGCAAAUACUCUUAUUUUUUUCUUCAUACAGAUACACUUUUAAGCCACGUGGUUUAAUAGAAUCGGAUUUUAACAUUAUUAAAUUGCACGGCUUAACAACGUGUCUGUAUUAAAAAAAAUGAUGGCGUCUGUACCUGAGAAUCAUUAUAUAUAUAUAUAUAUAUAUAAUAUUAAAUUAGUUAUUUGCACGUCAUCAUUUUAGCACUGAUAUAUAUGAAUUUUAUUCUCGCUUUCUUUCUUGAUGAUGUACAUAGACAUAUUAGCUAUAAAUAAAUAGGUUGUAAUCAUACUUGUUAAUUAAUAGCUUGCAACAAAGUUCCAAAGUACAGAUUAGUUAAGGCGAACACAAAAAUCAAAUGUUUAAUCACAGUUCCAUUCUUUUUGCUUCUUCUGUACAAUCCUUUUGGUAUAGAUAAAAGUUAUAUUUUAUAUUUUAACGGUAAUAAUGCUAGAACUACUAACCCUUUUGUACAGGGAUCGGAGUUUGUUGCUCUAUUCUCAAGACAACAAUAAUAAUUUAAAUAUAUAUAUAUAAUUUUUGUAAAAAGCACCAGAUUACUCUUCUUAACUUCCCCAUAGAAAAUAAUAUAUAUAUAUAAUUAUUUCAUGUAUUAAUAAAUUAAUAAGGGAGUCAAAUUCAAUGUAUAGACGUUAAUAAAUUAAUUAGUAAGUGAGUCAAAUUCAAUGGAUAAAUAUUAAUUAAAAAAGAUAUAUAGUUUCAAAAAAUUAAUACAAAAAGUUUCAUGCCAAGAAACUACUAAGAUACUUAAGAAGUUAGAAAUAUUUUGGUUUCAAUAAGAAGAUGGUUAUCCUGAUCAAUUAUUACAUACCUGCAAGUUAAAAGAUGUGGUUGCAAUUUUAAAGAAUAAAUCAUUGUCACAAGUAACUUUAAAAAGAUAUUUUGUUUCAUCUUAAUUAUUUAAUGUAACAUGACAUAUAUUUUAAAAAUAUUNNNNNNNNNNNNNNNNNNNNNNNNNNNNNNNNNNNNNNNNNNNNNNNNNNNNNNNNNNNNNNNNNNNNNNNNNNNNNNNNNNNNNNNNNNNNNNNNNNNNAAUUAAAACUAGUCCCAAGUUGUUACCACAAUUUUUUUAGUACUAUGAAGAGGUUAUUCCUAUAUAGAGUAUUCCUAUUUUGGGGUUCUACUGUAUAUAGUUUUCUAGUCCGGAAUUGAAAGAGCGGGAAGAGUCCGAAAAAACUUUAAAACAUGGGGAUUAAAAGAUUUAAAAUUUAAAGCGAAUAAACCCAACAGCUUAUGAGUUUUCUCAUACUUUCCCGCACUUUAAAAUUUUGGAUUCGAUUAUAUAUAUAAUGCGUUUAGUAUUAAAUUGGUUAUUUGCACGUCAUCAUUUUAGCACCUGAUAUAUAUGAAUCAUUUUUUUAUUCUCGCUUUCUUUCUUGAUGAUGUGCAUAGACAUAUUAGCUAUAAAUAAAUAGCUUGUAAUCAUACUUGUUAAUUAAUAGCUUGUAUCUAUAGAUACAUCUACUUUCUUGCAACAAAGUUCCAAAGUACAGAUUAGUUAAGGCGGACACAAAAAUAAAAUGUUUAAUCACAGUUCCAUUCUUUUUGUUUCUUGCGUACAAUCCUUUUGGUAUAAAUAAAAAUUUUUAUUUUAUAGAGUAAUAAAAAAAAAAGUACCACAAUGCUAGAAUUAUAAUGGUAACAGUGCUAGAACUACUAACCCUUUUGUACAGGGAUCGGAGUUUGUUGCUUUAUUCUCAAGACAACAAUAAUAAUUUUUAAAAAAUAUAUAAUUUUUGUAAAAAGCACCAGAUUACUCCUCGUAACUUUCCCCAUAGAAAAUAAUAUUUAUGAAAGCAAGUAGCCUUGAGAGCAAAGGCAAGAAUGGAAGCAUUCCUCUUGAGCAUCAUUUCUUUGUUUGUUUGUUCUUUUUUCUUUUGCUUGAUGUAGCUGCUUAAUUUUUCUUUAUCUACAAUCUUCGUUUCUAUUCUUUUCUAUCUCUUAUGGUACACUCUUACAAAUCAACCAUUGGUUUAUGAAAAUCACGGUAUAAUCCAAUUGAUUAUUGCUAAGAAUUGAGCCAAAUAUUAUUGCAAUUUAUCCACAAACAAGCUGGGGAUCGAUCCAGCCGCAUAACAGCAUAUAAUAAAACCAUCCUGUAAAUAAAAAGAAAGCUAUUAUAUAAAAGAUGUAAAAAAUGCUAUUAAUCACGGUAUCGUUUUAGUAAUAUUAUUAACAUGGAUUUAAUAAACAACGCACAAUAGAUAAUUACUGAACUACAAGCAAGUUUAUAUAAUUUUCUGAUAAAUCGUGUAGGAAGAAUGCAAUUAGCUAAAGAAAGAGAAAUUAAGGAUUGGUGCAUUGGUUCACUAGAUUAAAGAUUUGAUACAUGGGCUAUGAACAGGCAGAAUUUAUGUGCAACUGUUUCAAUUUUCUUUUUUUUUUUUCACUAGUCUCCUUCGCCAUAUCAACUGGGGAAAGUGUUUUUUCAGAAAUUUGUGUUUGUUGGGUUUCUCCUCAUAACAUGGACAACAAUAUAUCAACAACAUCCUAAUUAUAAGCUUAUGAAGAUUCUAUACCAGGAGUGCCGUGAACGAAAAAGAAUACUUCCGAGGGCCUUUAAGUUUUGUACAUCAGUUGCCAUAUUCAUUAAUGCGCAUUCUUUCUUUAAGUACUUUUUGUUCUUUACCUUUUGCUUUAUAUUAAUUUGUUCACACUUUACUCUUUCUUUGUCCGAUUGCAAUCUUUGUUCUGUUAUUAUGCUUUUCUUUGUCUUAUAAUACACAUUUUGACACAAAACUAUUAAUGUGUUCGUGAACCUCAAGUAUAUAUAUGCAUGUUGAUGUGUAAUAUUGCAAUUGAUUGCUUUCUCACCCUUUCAUUUGUUGCAAACUGACCCAGAAAAUAUAUACAUCCUAGCCUAAAUUACUGCCUGCUCAUUACCUUUUAUACCAUUAGUCCUUCAUUCUUAACCUCACAAAACAAGUUGAAUAUGGCCGCGGAAACUGUUACUUCAGUUAUCCAGCCCAUUACGGAGAAGAUUGUUGACGUGUUGUUCAAUGCAACAGUCCGUCAGUUUGGUUACUUGUGUAAGUACAAACACUACAUUGAAGCGUUGAGGACGGAAGCAAAGAAGCUCACAGAUAGAAGAAAUGACUUGCAAGCGGAAAUUGAUGCUGCAACAAGAAAUAGAGAAGUUAUUAAAGAUGAGGUUAAAAGCUGGAUAGCAGAAGUCAAUGAAAUCAUUCCAAAAGCGGAAAAGUUUUUGGAGGAUGAAGUGAAAGUAAACAAGAAAUGCCUUGGCGGGUUGUGCGUUGAUCUCAAAUCACGUUACAAACUCAGCAGAGAGGCAGAGGGGAAGACUCUAGCAAUUUCUGGUCUCAUGGCUGAUGGAAAUUUUGGAAAAGAUGUGUCUCGUCCUGCUCCUCCACCAGCAAUAAUAUCUUCGUCUGAAGGAUUCUACGCUUUCAAUUCCAGGGAAUCAGCAAUGAAGGAUAUAAUGGAGGCCAUGAAGAAUGAAAAUGUUAGCAUAAUAGGAAUAUGCGGAAUGGGGGGUGUGGGGAAGACCACACUAGUCAAGGAAAUUCAGAAGCAAGCAAAAGAAAUGAAGAUGUUUGAUGAUGUAGCGAUGGCCGUUGUGUCUCAAACUCCAACCAUUACCAAGAUUCAAGGUGAGAUUGCUGGCUGGUUAGGUGUUAAAAAACUGCCUGACAAUGACGAGUCGGCAAGAGCUAGUUUUUUGUGGGAAAGAAUCAAGGAGAAGCAGCGAGUGCUUGUCAUAUUGGACGACUUAUGGGGGCGAAUAAAAUUGUCUGAGGUUGGUAUUCCUUACGGAAAGGAUCACAGAGGCUGUAAUAUUUUGCUCACGUCUCGAUCACGUGCUGUCUGCAAUCAAAUGAAUGCGCACAAAAUUGUUGAAGUCGGAACUUUAACGAAAGAGGAAUCUUGGAGCCUUUUCAGGGAGGUAGCUGGUCCAGAAGUUGAUAAUCUUGAAAUAAACCCGACUGCAAGAGAGGCGGCUGACGGGUGCGGUGGCUUGCCAAUUGCGAUUCUCACAAUAGGAGGAGCGCUGAAGGAUAGAGACAAGCAUGUUUGGAAAGAUGCAGCUGAUCAACUCAAAAGUUCCGCCCCAACGAACAUCGAAGGGAUGGAAGAGUUUGUAGUUUCACGCGUGCAGCUGAGCUACAAUUAUCUGAAAAGCGAGGAGUCAAAAUCAAUCUUCCGACUCUGCAGCUGCUUUCCAGAAGAUUACGAUAUUCCAAUUGAAGUGUUGGCGAGAUACGGAUGGGGUUUGAGGUGCUUACAAAACGUCGAUUCAGUGGAGAAGGCCAGAGGCAGAGCACGUAGUGCUGUAAGUACCCUUAUCUUUUCUUAUUUGUUAAUUGAUGGUGAGGAGGAAGGGUUUGUUAAGAUGCAUGACGUUGUGCGUUAUGUUGCACAACAAAUAGCGUCUAAAAAUAAGUUCUUGAUUAAGGCCGGCGUCGGGCUAAAAGACUGGCCAAGCAUAAAUACAUUUGAAGAUCUCACUGGAAUCUCAUUGAUGUUCAAUGAUAUCCAUGAGGUACCUGAUGAGUUGGAGUGUCCAAAGCUCCAAGCUUUAUUCCUGCAGGAAAAUUAUCACUUAGUCAUUCCUGACCCAUUUUUUCAAGGGAUGAAAGAUCUGAAAGUUUUAGACUUGGAAGGAAUCCGAAUGGUUUCACCGCCUUUCUCACUUUCAUUCCUUAGUAACCUCGGAACUUUAAGUCUUCAUGAUUGCUGUGGCUUGGGCGACCUAUCUUUAAUCGGAGAGUUAAGUAGAUUGGAGAUUCUUGAUCUUUCAGAAUCUGAUGUAAGUGAAAUUCCGGUCAGUUUUGGACGAUUGGGUCAUCUAAGAUUGUUGGAUUUGACAGACUGUGAGCACCUAGAACUAAUACCCCGAGGUGUCCUCUCUAGCCUUCGUAAGUUAGAGGAGUUAUACAUGUCAGACAGUUUUCGCCGCUGGCAAUUUGAGAGCGAAGAAGAUUCAAGCAGUAAUGCCAAAUUCAUUGAAUUAGGAGCCUUGAGUCGACUCACUAGUUUGCAUAUUGACAUCCCGAAAGGCAAAAUCAUGCCUUCUGAUAUGUCCUUCCAAAAUCUGACAAGCUUUUCGAUUACAAUUGGCGACCUUGAGGAGGACCCUCUCAGUUAUUUUAUGGAAGUAUUUUCUAGAAAAUUUAAGAAGAGAUGCUCGAGAGCAAUGGGGCUUUCACAGGACAUGAAGAUUUCAGCGCUACCUUCUUGGAUUAAGAAUUUGCUGCUCAGAUCAGAGAUUCUUGCUUUGGUAGAAGUCAACGAUUUGGAGAAUAUAUUCUCGAACCUAGCUAAUGAUGACUUUAACGAAUUGAUGUUUCUAGCUAUUUUCCGCUGCAAUGAGAUGAAAUGUCUCUUGAACUCAUUGGAAAGGACACAAAGGGUAACUCUCCACAAGUUAGAAUGGUUGUUUAUACGUGAAAAUCAGAAUUUUGUUGAAAUAUGCCACGGUCAACUCCCAGCCGGGUGCUUGAGCAAUGUAAAAAGGUUAGAUGUGGAAGCUUGUGGCAUUAUGUUGAAAAUUUUACCAAGUCAUUUGGUACAAAGCUUUCAAAAUCUUCAACGUUUGAGGGUAGAAAGUUGUGAGUUGCUGGUGUCUGUAUUCGAAAUUGAAAGGGUUAAUAUUGCAAAAGAAGAAACUGAGUUGUUUUCGUCAUUAGAGAAACUGACUCUGAUCGACCUGCCUCGGAUGACGGACAUAUGGAAAGGUGACACUCAAUUUGUAAGUCUCCAUAACCUGACGAAAGUAAGAGUGCAAGACUGCGAUGAGUUGAGACAAGUAUUUCCGGCAAAUCUUGGGGAGAAAGCAGCAGCAGAGGAGAUGGUACUUUACAGGAACAGAAGAGAUCAGAUUCACAUUCACGCCACAACCUCAACCUCCUCUCCGACUCCGAGUUUGGGAAACCUGGUUUCUAUUACAAUUCGGGGAUGUGGGAAAUUACGAAACCUCUUCACAACCUCCAUGGUCAAAAGCCUGGUGCGACUUGAAAGCCUAGAAGUAAGCAGCUGCCCAACACUGCAAGAAAUAAUCAUGGAUGAUGAAGG